GGAUGUGAGGGAAAUCUGGCUGCGACAUCUGUCACCCCAGUGAUCCCCAGGGUUGAUCCUGCUGAUCUGGCUGGCUGGGUGGGUGUCCCCUUCCUCCCUCACUGCUCCAUGUGUGCCCCAUAAAUCUGGCUGGCUGGGCGGGUGUCCCCUUCCUCCCUCACUGCUCCAUGUGUGCCCCUAAAUAGAGAAGGACUGGUCUUUGGUCAAGGAUGUAGGAGUAGCUGCACUCCCCUGCUAGAACCUCCAAACAAGCUCUCAAGAAGUAGGAUGGGAUCCAGAUCAUAACUGGUUUCUUUCAGUAUUCUUUGAAACUGCUAUCUCCCCAGGACAGACUGAGGAAUAACU
rnacentral:snRNA from 1 species